rnacentral:rRNA from 1 species
ACGGAGGGGGCUAGCGUUGUUCGGAAUUACUGGGCGUAAAGCGCACGUAGGUGGCUUUGUAAGUUAGAGGUGAAAGCCCGGGGCUCAACUCCGGAAUUGCCUUUAAGACUGCAUCGCUAGAACGUCGGAGAGGUAAGUGGAAUUCCGAGUGUAGAGGUGAAAUUCGUAGAUAUUCGGAAGAACACCAGCGGCGAAGGCAGCAACUUGGUCUGGUAUUGACGCUCAGGCACGAAAGCAUGGGGAUCAAACAGGA